rnacentral:lncRNA from 1 species
UGCAAUGCAUCUUGUCCAUAUAAAGCAUCUCUACAAGUCUAACUCUGCCAAGGCAAGCAGCAGAAGCACCAUCAAUGAAGUCAAAAAACCAGAAAGCUGUGAUGUCGAGCCCCGGAGACAGGAAAAUCAUGGCACUGGCUCAUAAAAGAAAGAGUUUUCUUCCGUCAAUUGCUUUGUCUCUAGUACUUCUGCUACUUGCUAUCAGCAUGCUUGUUUCAAACAAUUGUUUUAACCGAGUGCAAGUCGAAAAGCCUCAGAUGAUGAGCCGUCCCAUGCCGAAGAUGAUGUUUCCACAGAACAAUGCGCAGGCUGUACGAUCAUUUGUAAUCGGGACAGAGACAGUAAGGAGACUACUAGCUUUUGUAUUUGGGUUUCAGUGAUUCAAUUCCUUGGAAACACUAGUGCGCUGCCAAAUGCAUGGCUUAAUUACAAUUGCAUGAGAAUGGUGCAACCUCAGAUUAUGCUUGUCUAAGUAAUAAAGUUUAAUAUCAACAUACCCCACUUAAUUUUUCGCUUUAUAUAUCAUUUGCUCGAGUGGAAGUAGCCUAGAAGGUGGAGUUCUUCGUCCCUUCUUUAUUACUGAUUCACGUGCAUUAUUAGGAUAUAGAAAAAUUUAAGCCCUAAUAAAUAAACUUUCAUUGUAUAUAGGUGAAUUUAUAAAUUAAAUUGUCGACUACUUAUUGCAAGUAAUGAUUGUUCGGAAAAAAAAAAAGCGUAUAUAUAUAUAUAU